CCUACGGGGUGCAGCAGUGGGGGAUAUUGCACAAUGGGGGAAACCCUGAUGCAGCGACGCCGCGUGUGGGAAGACGGUCUUCUGGAUUGUAAACCACUGUCCCCAGGGACGAAAAUGACGGUACCUGGGGAGGAAGCUCCGGCUAACUACGUGCCAGCAGCCGCGGUAAUACGUAGGGAGCAAGCGUUGUCCGGAAUUACUGGGUGUAAAGGGAGCGUAGGCGGGGAUGCAAGUUUGGUGUCAAAACUACCGGCUCAACCGAUAGUCGCACUCAAAACUGCAGCUCUUGAGUGAAGUAGAGGCAGGCGGAAGUCCUAGUGUAGCGGUGAAAUGCGUAGAUACUAGGAGGAACACCAGUGGCGAAGGCGGCCUGCUGGGCUUUUACUGACGCUGAGGCUCGAAAGUGUGGGGAGCAAACAGGAUUAGAUACCCUAGUAGUC
rnacentral:rRNA from 1 species